GAUGAACGCUAGCUACAGGCUUAACACAUGCAAGUCGAGGGGAAACGGCAUUGAGUGCUUGCACUCUUUGGACGUCGACCGGCGCACGGGUGAGUAACGCGUAUCCAACCUUCCCAUUACUGUGGGAUAACCUGCCGAAAGGCAGACUAAUACCGCAUGGUCUUCGAUGACGACAUCAGAUUUGAAGUAAAGAUUUAUCGGUAAUGGAUGGGGAUGCGUCUGAUUAGCUUGUUGGCGGGGUAACGGCCCACCAAGGCGACGAUCAGUAGGGGUUCUGAGAGGAAGGUCCCCCACAUUGGAACUGAGACACGGUCCAAACUCCUACGGGAGGCAGCAGUGAGGAAUAUUGGUCAAUGGACGUAAGUCUGAACCAGCCAAGUAGCGUGCAGGAUGACGGCCCUAUGGGUUGUAAACUGCUUUUGUAUGGGGAUAAAGUCAGUCACGUGUGAUUGUUUGCAGGUACCAUACGAAUAAGGACCGGCUAAUUCCGUGCCAGCAGCCGCGGUAAUACGGAAGGUCCAGGCGUUAUCCGGAUUUAUUGGGUUUAAAGGGAGCGUAGGCCGGAGAUUAAGUGUGUUGUGAAAUGUAGACGCUCAACGUCUGACUUGCAGCGCAUACUGGUUUCCUUGAGUACGCACAACGUUGGCGGAAUUCGUCGUGUAGCGGUGAAAUGCUUAGAUAUGACGAAGAACUCCGAUUGCGAAGGCAGCUGACGGGAGCGCAACUGACGCUUAAGCUCGAAGGUGCGGGUAUCGAACAGG
rnacentral:rRNA from 1 species